rnacentral:rRNA from 1 species
UACGAAGGGGGCUAGCGUUGUUCGGAGUUACUGGGCGUAAAGCGCGUGUAGGCGGGUCGUUAAGUUGGGGGUGAAAUCCCGAGGCUCAACCACGGAACUGCCUUCAAAACUGGCGACCUGGAGCAAGAUAGAGGCAAGUGGAAUUGCGAGUGUAGAGGUGAAAUUCGUAGAUAUUCGCAGGAACACCAGUGGCGAAGGCGACUUGCUGGAUCUUUGCUGACGCUGAGAAGCGAAAGCGUGGGGAGCAAACAGG